rnacentral:rRNA from 1 species
UACGAAGGGGGCUAGCGUUGCUCGGAAUCACUGGGCGUAAAGCGCACGUAGGCGGAUUGCUAAGUCAGGGGUGAAAUCCUGGAGCUCAACUCCAGAACUGCCUUUGAUACUGGCGAUCUCGAGUCCGGGAGAGGUGAGUGGAACUGCGAGUGUAGAGGUGAAAUUCGUAGAUAUUCGCAAGAACACCAGUGGCGAAGGCGGCUCACUGGUCCGAUACUGACGCUGAGGCACGAAAGCGUGGGGAGCAAACAGG